CAGCCGUAAACUAUGCGCGUUAGGUGUAUCGGUGACCACGAGUCACCGAGGUGCCGAAGGGAAACCGUGAAACGUGCCGCCUGGGAAGUACGGUCGCAAGGCUGAAACUUAAAGGAAUUGGCGGGGGAGCACAACAACGGGUGGAGCCUGCGGUUUAAUUGGACUCAACGCCGGACAACUCACCGGGACGACAGCAAUAUGUAGGCCAGGCUGAAGACCUUGCCUGAAUCGCUGAGAGGUGGUGCAUGGCGUCAGUGACU
rnacentral:rRNA from 1 species